AUUGCUUCUGGGUCUUUUGGCUAAGAUCAAGUGUAGUUAUCUGUUCUUAUCAGUUUAAUAUCUGAUACGUCCUCUGUUCAAAGACAAAAUAGUAAAUGGAUUUUUGGAGCAGGAAGUUGGAGUAGGAGCUUGCUCCGUCCACUUUACGCACUGGCCUGGUAUGGCAGUAUUUCCAGAAACGAUGCACCCCUU